CCCCGUGGUUGGCGGACUGGAGAAGGAGCGAAGAUGGCGGAGUGAGGUGUGCCCCGGGUAGCUGGCCUCCGGGCCCGGGGCGGGCCUCCCGCAAGAGACGGUGUAUUCGUGUAGGACCGUGUGAGGAAUCUUAUCACACGAGAUGAAUAUUUUCCCGACCUUAGGUGCUUUUAUAUUCAGCUCAAAAUUCUGAACUCAGGACUUGGCAGGAAUUUCUAUGGUGUCUGCUCAGUGGGGUGUCCUGAUUCUUCGGUCUGGCUACUUUCCCUGUGGAAUGCCGAUGUCUUUCUACAGAUUACCUCCAUGGUUUUGGAUGGAAGGACUGCUUUUCUUUUACUUCACUUCAGUUUCAGUACAGAGAAGCUCUGAAGAUGCAGCUGUCUUGUUGACUUCAGGAAGAAAAAACCAACUGGCUUAGGUCUUCUGCUGCAGUUUUUUUUUUUUUUU